UUUGCAAAUGCCCCACAAUACGAGUAUUAUUUUUCAGUGAACAAGACUGUGAAGUCAUUAAAAUUAUCAGUACCAUUGUGUAGUGAGAUAGCCCAUUUCUUUAUCGAAAGCAUACAAUAAACACGACUAUUAAUUAAAGAAUUUCAAUAAUCUUAAUGUUAUUUCAUACACAUAUAUGUUGGCAUGAAGCCCAAGCAAUCGUGUUAUGGCUUAAUUUGGUAGCAAACUUAAUGUUAUUUACCAUGUUCGUUUGGCUUGUUAACAGACCCAUAAAGUUGAUGAUGUACGCACACUUGUGGCCAGCUCUGGACGAGACCAGAAGUCAGUUUAUCGGAUAGGGACAGCCAGCCGCCUCUUCCAUGUUUAUUUUGAACCUUUUUAAAUGUUAAUGCAGACCUUGGUCGACUAUGUGCCUCUCGCUCCUCUUCGCUUAAUAUUGUUUUUGUUGUUGUUGUUGUUGUUGUUGUUAUUGAGGUUUUUGCAAUGAUGUUUGUGUUAUGGCUUGUGUUGCAUUUUAAACGCGAUUGCCUUCUGCCUGCUGAUGAGGGAUCCAGAAACAAGUUGAUGAGCAGCACCCAGGCAAGAGCUGUCUUUAAAACCGUCACUUCACGGAGUGAACUGGACGCCAUAGAAAUUCGUAAUAACUUUUUACAGCUACAAAGAUAAAAUAGUAAAUUUAUAUGUACAUAUGUUGUAAUCAAAAGGAUUUUCUAUUAGUUUCAUUUGCAAUAUAAUUGAAUAUACAUAAUUCCUGCCUUUCUGACUCUAGAUUUGAUGAAUGUUAACCAUGGCAAGCAAGCAAAUGCAAAUGAAAAAGUUCUCCAAAAGUUUGCUUUGUAAUUAUAAAAGUUUUAGUAUUUGCAAUGAAAGUCCACCGCAAGAAACUAAGUUUAAGCAUAAAAGUUGCAAAAAAGGCGACCGAGUCGAAACAGAACAAAAUGCACUUUGCAUUUUCCACCUUUUGGUGCCAAAAAAAAAACAA